ACUUUAAGCAUAAUUUUUCGUUUUUUACAUUUGAAAAAAAAAUUUGAAUAAGACGAGCGGUCAAACGUUGUAAGCAAAAACUCAAAAUCCCUUAUAUUGUGGGACGGAGGGAGUAGUACUUAUGUACUAUGUGAGUUUUUGGAGAAUUUUGAGCAUCUUGAAAUAACCUCGAUAGUACCCAAAUCGUUUGGUUUGAAAAGAAGUGAUCGAACUGAGUGAAACAUGACCAGGUCUGUACCGUUAAAUUUCAAUUUCCUGUAACUCUCUGUCUCUAAAAUCCUGUAUAUACCUGAUGUUUGAAUCUCCUGAAAAUGUAGAUGAAGAUUCAGUGUUUCACGUAAAACGAGGUGGUGAUAACGUGUGAUUAAUUAAGUUUUAAUUAUUACAAACUUAAAAAAUAGAUUAAUCUAAUAUAUUAGAGCAACUUUCAUAUGAAAAGUUUUCGCACGAAACGCACCGUUUAACAGUUUAAAAAACGUGCCACGAGUAUACAAAAUUUCAUCCAAGCCUUGUUGGAGAAAAGAACAGGGCACGUUGAGACUGAAGCAAGUAAAUCAAAUUGCAUGCUGACCUUCGAAAGAUCUUCCUAAAGGUUUCCCUUUUUUGUGUGUGUGUGUGUGUGUGUUACCGAAUCCCCUACUUCUUUUUAAUUGGAGUGUCACUAACAACCUAAUGUUACUCCUUUACAGAUAAUGUCGAGCAUGUUAAUCAGAUCAACCUUGAGAUUGCUAGCUGGGUAGAAAGUGACUAUCAAAUACAGUUUUUCCCGUCGAACUAUUCAUCUUGGUUUUGCAUUCCUUGUUCCAGUUGACUAUCUGCAGCUUACUAUCAGCAAGUGAUAUCAUUAUUUGGUACCAUUACUUGUUGGUGAGAUAUAUAUGUUCGACAUAUAUGGUGUUGAGUUCACACACAAACCUUUGGUAAAUUGGUUCAAUGAAAAUGUUGUGAAGAAAGCUGUCCACCUGCAGGUUGGAUUCCUAGGGGGGUUGACUGUUGAGGAAUAAAGCAAUCCAAUGGAUAUUUCAAAGUAAAAUGGUCUAAUGAUAGUUACAGGUUCAGGAACCUUAUCAUCAGCAAUUGAGAUGGGCCUCAGAUGAGGAAGUAUGUCCCCUUCGUUCCAGUCACCAAACAUUAGCUAAAAAACGUGUCCCCUGCACUAAUCUAGCUGUUAUUUUGAUCAUAUGUCAUAAACUGUUCAAAAAAUAAGUCCACUGACUGUUGUCCCCAGUCUAUGCUGUUCCAUGAAAUCUGUAAUUUAAUCAAACGUUGAAGAACCGGAACAAUAACUCUUAUCUUAA